GAUGAACGCUAGCGGCAGGCCUAAUACAUGCAAGUCGAACGGUAGAUCGGGUAGCAAUACUUGAUUGAGAGUGACGUAAGGGUGCGUAACACGUAUGCAAUCUACCCUCAACAGGAGUAUAGCUCGGGGAAACUCGGAUUAACACUCCAUAACAUUACGAUGUGGCAUCACAUUGUGAUUAAAACUCCGGUGGUUGAGGAUGAGCAUGCGUCUGAUUAGUUAGUUGGAGGUGUAACGGACCCCCAAGACGAUGAUCAGUAGGGGAACUGAGAGGUUGAUCCCCCACACUGGCACUGAGAUACGGGCCAGACUCCUACGGGAGGCAGCAGUAGGGAAUAUUGGUCAAUGGGUGAGAGCCUGAACCAGCCAUGCCGCGUGCAGGAAGACGGCCUUCUGGGUUGUAAACUGCUUUUAUCUGGGGAUAAAAAGCCCAUGCGUGGGACAUUGAAGGUACCAGAUGAAUAAGCACCGGCUAACUACG
rnacentral:rRNA from 1 species